CAUCAUGGCCAACAUGGCCUAUGUGAGCUGCAGGCAUUAUCCUGGCAGGAGGCUGAGGAGGUGUUCCUCCGUGGCCCUACUUAUCACCCUGGUGAAGUUGAGGAAUUUGACGGCGAUUGCAAAACGAAUGAGAAAAGAAGCAACAGAAAUGACGGUGAUCAAGGUGAUGAUUAAAUAAAGUACA